GAACGCUGGCGGCGUGCUUAACACAUGCAAGUCGAACGAAGCACCUUAUUCUGAUUUCUUCGGAAUGAAAAAUUUGGUGACUGAGUGGCGGACGGGUGAGUAACGCGUGGGUAACCUGCCUCAUACAGGGGGAUAACAGUUAGAAAUGACUGCUAAUACCGCAUAAGACCACAGCACCGCAUGGUGCAGGGGUAAAAACUCCGGUGGUAUGAGAUGGACCCGCGUCUGAUUAGGUAGUUGGUGGGGUAACGGCCUACCAAGCCGACGAUCAGUAGCCGACCUGAGAGGGUGACCGGCCACAUUGGGACUGAGACACGGCCCAAACUCCUACGGGAGGCAGCAGUGGGGAAUAUUGCACAAUGGGGGAAACCCUGAUGCAGCGACGCCGCGUGAGCGAUGAAGUAUUUCGGUAUGUAAAGCUCUAUCAGCAGGGAAGAAAAUGACGGUACCUGACUAAGAAGCACCGGCUAAAUACGUGCCAGCAGCCGCGGUAAUACGUAUGGUGCAAGCGUUAUCCGGAUUUACUGGGUGUAAAGGGAGCGUAGACGGAGUGGCAAGUCUGAUGUGAAAACCCGGGGCUCAACCCCGGGACUGCAUUGGAAACUGUCAAUCUAGAGUACCGGAGAGGUAAGCGGAAUUCCUAGUGUAGCGGUGAAAUGCGUAGAUAUUAGGAGGAACACCAGUGGCGAAGGCGGCUUACUGGACGGUAACUGACGUUGAGGCUCGAAAGCGUGGGGAGCAAACAGGAUUAGAUACCCUGGUAGUCCACGCCGUAAACGAUGACUACUAGGUGUUGGGCAGCAAAGCUGUUCGGUGCCGCAGCAAACGCAAUAAGUAGUCCACCUGGGGAGUACGUUCGCAAGAAUGAAACUCAAAUGAAUUGACGG
rnacentral:rRNA from 1 species